rnacentral:lncRNA from 1 species
AUAGCCAGUUUUGGUGGAAAUUUUUUUGUUCAAGAUUACAUUUCACGUGUUGUGAGAAGCUCGUUUCUGCUAUAACAGCAGAACCCAAGCUCAGUGCAAGAAAAGCAGCCUAUAUUUCUGCUACAGACCUGGAAUCUGCCAACUGGCUGGAUUCACAUGCCGCCAGAGAAAGGAGAUUGAAGCCAUGUGUCAAGUCUUCUCCUCCAGAAACAGCUCAACAUAAGCCCUUCUGUUAACAGGAAGACUGGCUCAGAAACACCGAAUCAGCAGUAUCAUGUGCAAACAUAAAACGAGGCAAUGAUAGCUGUUUCUGUUGCUUGCAACCAAAUACCCUGAUUGUUGAAAAGCCAACAAUUCAAAACUCCAAAAUCUACUGUAGACUGGAGCUCUUCCUGGGGACUCUUCUGUUCCUCAACAGGCUCUGAAAGCUUCCUGGUCAUUUUGAAGUUGGAAGACUCAAUUUUGAACCACUCUCAGGCAGAAGAGAAGAGUCACUAUCCAUUGUGAUCAAAAGAAUACCUGCCGGCAGAUGAGCCACAUGCCUCAGCAGUCCAGACUUCCGUGGCGACCUCCACGGGCAAGCCUAUGCACUGGGUGCCCAGCAUGCCCUCAGGAGUGGCUGAGGCUACUGGCUGUCACAGGGCAAGGUUGUGGGAAGCCUGAAGCUGGUGGGAGGGGCACACGCAGGUGGUUCUGAGCUGAGCCUGAGUGAGUGCUACAUGAAGUAUUGUAUUUAUGUUAAAACCCACUGUUCUUAGACACUGGGCUCUGAGUCUCUCAGAAGUAGAUUUAUCCUAAGAGAUAUGUAAAUCUAUAUGAACUCCAACCUAUAUUUUUAAAUAAAAUCAAUAUGAUUCCCCUUGUAUAUUUUACUACUUUCUUUCUAAUUUGUGUCAAUGCUGCACUGAUCAAUAAAUUACAAAUUCUUACACAGAAA